rnacentral:sRNA from 1 species
CUGACAGCACUAGAGAAUGAAGUCUUACUUAACCAAAGAACAGGUCUGACAUGGACAACAGCAGUGCAAGUUCCCCUAUACCAAAUGUAGCUCCAACCUGCCACGGAGAAGCCCACUCUAGAGAUCAGAGGAGUUCAGUCUCCAAAUCUAUUGGAGUCUUUGUGCCC